AUACGUAGGUGGCAAGCGUUGUCCGGAUUUACUGGGUGUAAAGGGCGUGUAGGCGGAGAUGCAAGUCAGGAGUGAAAUCUAGGGGCUCAACCCCUAAACUGCUUUUGAAACUGUAUCCCUUGAGUAUCGGAGAGGCAGGCGGAAUGUGGGGUGUAGCGGGGAAAUGCAUAGAUAUUCCACAGAACACCGAUUGCGAGGGCAGCUGACGAAUCCCCGAUUGACGCUGAUGCACGAAAGUGCGGGUAUCGAACAGGAUUAGAUACCCUGGUAGUCCGCACAGUAAACGAUGAUAACUAGUUGUUGGCGAUAAACAGAUCAGUAACUGAGCGAAAGCGUUAAGUUAUCCACCUGGGGAGUACGACCGCAAGGUUGAAACUCAAAUGAAUUGACGGGG
rnacentral:rRNA from 1 species